rnacentral:misc_RNA from 1 species
GAUGGAGAACGUAGCGAAAUGCGAUAAGUAAUGUGAAUUGCAGAAUUCAGUGAAUCAUCGAAUCUUUGAACGCACAUUGCGCCCCCUGGUAUUCCGGGGGGCAUGCCUGUCCGAGCGUCAUUACAACCCUCAAGCUCAGCUUGGUGUUGGGCCCCGCCGCCCCGGCGGGCCCUAAAGUCAGUGGCGGUGCCGUCCGGCUCCGAGCGUAGUAAUUCUUCUCGCUCUGGAGGUCCGGUCGUGUGCUCGCCAGCAACCCCCAAUUUUUUUCAGGUUGACCUCGGAUCAGGUAGGGAUACCCGCUGAACUUAAGCAUAUCAAUAAGCGGAGGA